GUCCCUGUCUGACAACGGCAAGUCAUCCGGCUUUUCACCCCGGAAAUGGAGGGUUCGACUCCCCCCAGGGACG
rnacentral:tRNA from 1 species